AGGACGAACGCUGGCGGCGUGCCUAACACAUGCAAGUCGAGCGGGGUUGAAGCGAGGGGUAACUCGAGUUUCUACCUAGCGGCGGACGGGUGAGUAACGCGUGGGCAACCUGCCUCAAGGACUGGGAUAACAGCUCGAAAGGGCUGCUAAUACCGGAUAAGCCUAUGGCCUCGCAUGGGGCCAUGAGCAAAGGGGAAACCCGCCUUGAGAUGGGCCCGCGUCCCAUCAGCUAGUUGGUGAGGUGAAGGCUCACCAAGGCGACGACGGGUAGCCGGCCUGAGAGGGUGACCGGCCACACUGGGACUGAGACACGGCCCAGACUCCUACGGGGGGCAGCAGUGGGGGAUCUUGCACAAUGGGCGAAAGCCUGAUGCAGCGACGCCGCGUGAGCGAAGAAGGCCUUCGGGUUGUAAAGCUCUGUCUGGAGGGACGAAGGAAGUGACGGUACCUCCGGAGGAAGCCACGGCUAACUACGUG
rnacentral:rRNA from 1 species